rnacentral:rRNA from 1 species
AAACUUUUAUAUUUGUUCUGAAACAAUGAAAAUUUAAAACUUUCAACAACGGAUCUCUUGGUUCUCGUAUCGAUGAAGAACGCAGCAAAGCGCGAUAGGUAAUGCGAAUUGCAGACGUGAGUCAUUGAAUUUUUGAACGCAUAUUGCGCUAUUAGUUUGUCUAAUAGCAUGCUUGUUGGAGUGAUAA